AGCGAACGCUGGCGGCAGGCCUAACACAUGCAAGUCGAGCGCCCCGCAGGGAGCGGCAGACGGGAGAGUAACACGUGGGAACGGUACCCUUCAGUUCGGAACAACCCACGGGAAACUUGGGCGUAAUACCGAAUACGUCCGUAAGGAGAAAGAUUUAUCGCUGAAGGAUCGGCCCGCGUCUGAUUAGCUAGUUGGUGAGGUAAUGGCUCACCAAGGCGACGAUCAGUAGCNGGUCUGAGAGGAUGAUCAGCCUCCACUGGGGACUGAGACACGGCCCCAGACUCCUACGGGAGGGCAGCAGUGGGGGAAGUAUUGGACAAUGGGCGCAAGCCUGAUCCAGCCAUGCCGCGUGGGUGAUGAAGGCCCUAGGGUUGUAAAGCCCUUUCGGCGGGGAAGAUAAUGCGGUACCCGCAGAAGAAGCCCCCGGCUAACUUCGUGCCAGCC
rnacentral:rRNA from 1 species